GACUGAAGCUACUCGGAUACUUUCCAUCCCUGCUCGUCGUCGCGGUUCACCUCUGCAUCGUUCCGUGCACCGGAUACAACGGACGCUCAAGUAACGCUGUAACGUCUCCGGUGACGCUGCGCCGCUGCACAACCGCGCUCAGUUGCACCGACAGUUCGCAGAGACGCUCUCCUCGCACUCCUCCCGCUCGAGCCUCAGUGGGGUCUGCACCGCGCGCUCCUCCGCCAUGGAGACUAAACCCGUCAUCACCUGCCUGAAAACACUGCUCAUCGUUUACUCCUUCGUCUUUUGGAUAACAGGAGCCAUCCUGCUGGCGGUGGGAGUAUGGGGGAAGUUGAUGCUGGGCCCGUACAUCUCUCUGAUCGCCGACAACUCCACCAACGCCCCGUACGUCCUCAUCGGCACCGGCACCGUCAUCGUCGUCUUCGGCCUGUUCGGAUGCUUCGCCACCUGCAGAGGGAGCCCAUGGAUGCUGAAGCUGUAUGCAAUGUUCCUGUCGCUCGUCUUCCUCGCCGAGCUGGUGGCCGGGAUCUCUGGAUUCGUGUUUCGUCACGAGAUCAAGGGGACCUUUCACAGGACGUACACUGACGCGGUGCUGAACUACAACGCCGAGGACGAGGCGAGCCGCGCCGUCGAUAACCUGCAGCACAGGCUGCGCUGCUGCGGCGUGUACAACUACACCAGUUGGUUCGGCAGUGUGUAUUACCCGUCCAACGGCAUUCCUGCCAGCUGCUGCUUCAACUCCUCCGACUGCAACCCGGACGACCUCCGUAACACAACUCUCGCCCCGAGCAAGGUCUACCACCAGGGCUGCUACGAGCUGGUCACUUCCUUCAUGGAGACCAACAUGGCCAUUAUUGCGGGAGUGACGUUUGGAAUCGCCUUCUCACAGCUGAUCGGCAUGCUGCUGGCCUGCUGUCUGUCCAGGAUCAUCACAGCCAAUCAGUACGAGAUGGUUUAGCUGAUGUGACGUGGCAGAAACUGACACUUCUCAGAUCGGUUCACUCGCGCCCUCUGGCUGGUUUCCUCCAACGUUGUCAACCUGCAGCUUCGCCCGCUCCCAAAGCAGCGUGUUCCAGGCAGCGGACGCUGUUUUUAGACAGAGAAAUUAAACCCAACUGUUCAGUACCGGCCCAUCGCCGGGGGAAACAGACAGCCAUGAUGGAGCGUUGAGCCGCGAGCGAGCCAGGGAUCUGGGAGAUGAAGAGACGAAGGAGCCUCGGCACACCACCAGAGGAACUUCACCCGAACGCUUUACUCGCGCCUGACUUCCUCCGUCUCUCUGCCUGUGAUCUUGGUGUAAUCUCUAAAUGUAUCUCACUGUAAAGCUCCAUUCCUCGACUCACCGCCGUCGCAUCAAAGCGUUUCUAUAGCUCACAUCCCACCGCCACCCCAUGUUGAGGGUUUUGCUCGUUAGCGCGCGUCUCGGGAUCGCGGCGCGGCCCACCCCGAGCAGGCGCCGGUCUCCGAUUGGUCGAUUCUCGGUGGUACUCGGCUUCUCGGGGUGGCUGCAGCUCUUCAGGAGACCGGCGCUCGUGUUUGUACAGAACGGCUUCAGAGUAACACUUUAAUAGGUAGGUUUAGUUUUGCAUUUGACUUUUGGCUAUUUUGCUCGCCACAGUAUCUUCACGAUGGUCGUGACAUUUUGUGAACUCAUCGUGUGCCCUGGGAGGAUAUUCUAAGUUCAUAUUAAACUUAAAGGAGCUGACUUGCAUAUUUUCCACCUGUAGAUGAAGCAUGCUAUUGUUUUGAUAAUCCAACCCAGAAGCAGAUUAUGAUGUGAACCACGUGAUAAGAUUGUAAUAAUUGAGACAAAUGGGAAGCUUGUCUUGCCCCCAGUUACUUAAUAUAAUACCAUACAUGUAUUAUAGUUAAUGUAACUCAAUUAUAUAUAUAUAAUGUUAUAUUUAUAUAAUUAUUUAUAUAUAUAUAAAUAUAAAUAAUUAUAUAUUAUAUAUAUAUGUAUAUACAGGACUGUCUCAGAAAAUUAGAAUAUUGUGAUGAAGUUCUUUAUUUUCUGUAAUGCAAUUAAAAAAACAAAAAUGUCAUGCAUUCUGGAUUCAUUACAAAUCAACUGAAAUAUUGCAAGCCUUUUAUUCUGAUUUAUUGCUGAUUAUGGCUUACAGCUUAAGAAAACUCAAAUAUCCUAUGUCUAAAUAUUAGAAUAUCAUGAAAAAGUAUACUAGUAGGGUAUUAAACAAAUCACUUGAAUUGUCUAAUUAACUCGAAACACCUGCAAGGGUUUCCUGAGCCUUGACAAACACUCAGCUGUUAUAAAUCUUUUUUUUACUUGGUCUGAGGAAAUAUUAAAAUUUUAUGAGAUAGGAUUUUAGAGUUUUCUUAAGCUGUAAGCCAUAAUCAGCAAUAUUAAAAGAAUAAAAGGCUUGCAAUAUUUCAGUUGAUUUGUAAUGAAUCCAGAAUGCAUGACAUUUUUGUUUUUUUAAUUGCAUUACAGAAAAUAAAGAACUUUAUCACAAUAUUCUAAUUUUCUGAGACAGUCCUGUAUAUAUAUGUAUUUAUUUUAUUUUUGAGGGGGGAGGAAAACUAACCAAUCAAAUACACGCCGGUUGUGGACUAAAUCAACGGAAGGCCGAGUCACACCAGAAAUUAAUGAUUCAGUCUCUGAGGCAAAACUGGGUUCAAGCAGUUCAUCAAAAGGGUCUGGCGUUGCACCAUCGACUCCUUCUCAUAGCGGCCUGCAGGUCCACGUUGUGGCGCAUCUCGCCCUCAGGGAGCGGAUGGCGCUCCGCAGCUCGCCUGCCGCUCGGCUCCCUGAGCGUCGCCCUCUGUUGUCCCCCUGAAGGCCGGGUCUGCUCAUCUGUCAGGAUGACUUGUUAUAGGUCAACGGCGCAAAUUGGCUUUUCAUUGAAAUUAAUUGAUUUCGACCACAGAAAGACGCUGGGGUGACCCGGCCCCUCCAAGGCCCCCCCAUCCUCCUCCCCCCCCCCCCUCCCCCCUGAGUCCAGCCCAACGCUUCGGUGGUCUGAGCUUCAGACGGAUGUUAGUGAGGCGGGAUGGGAAUCAUACGGAUAGCAGAGCACACUUUCUCCUCUAUCUCGAGGCUCUCGUGGAGCGUGACACCCGGCAGCCGGGGAGAUGUGACGGAUCCUCCUGCGUGAAUAAUAACGGAGAGAGAGAGGGGGGGGGGGGGGAGAGAGAGAGCUUGUUUUUAUUUAUUUUUAUUUCUGCCGACAAGGAUCCUAAAGGAGUCUAAAGGUUCACAUCAUCUAAUAUCAAUUGUGAAAUGACAGAGAUAUGCAGGACUCUAACAAGUGUUCAUCUAGAAUUUACACUAUCCUAUGCAGCGCUUCAGCACCCAUAACCAUCAUCAUCGUCAUCGUCAUCGCCACCUGUAGAUAUUUAUGGGAAAUGUAGUUUAUAUGACGUGAUGUUUCUCAUCCUAAUAUGCUAAUCGGUAUAAUAGUGAUGUCCUUGUUUUGAUUCCGCACACCGUGCCCGUUAGUCCGUAUUUGAUUGAUUAGUUUGUAGGAAAAACUCGCACUGGAAAAAAUAAUUGUGGCCAACGUUUCUGUUGAGAGUGACGUACAACCUGUCGGUGUUUCAAUUUGUAGCUAUUAUAUUUAUUACGUUUGUUUAUCUCCACGUUUACACCACCGGGUGGUUUUCUAUAUCGCUCUUUCAGAAUGUGUGCAUGUGAGUGAUCCUUCUGUCUUUCCCCUCCACCUCGAGUGUGUGUUUUCCUUGUGUGUGUGUGUGUGUGUGUGUGUGUGUGUGUGUGUGUGUGUGUGUGUGUGUGAGAGAGAGAGAGACCGUCUAGAUCCCGCUUGUCUUUUCUUUGGGUCAGUAUUUGGUUGUUUAUUUCAGUGGAUGUAUGUUUUUCCGUCCACGAACUGAUAUCGUCCUGUAAAUACUAAACUGUAAUACCACCCUGCUACCACAAGGGGUCGCCAGACACUGGAAACGAAUUGCACCACGCUGUCUGCUAUUGACUAAGUCACCAUCAGUGGUCUUUGUUAUCAAUAAAUAUACAUAAUAACAAAUGUGA